CUCAAUUGAUUCAAGUUUGGGACAUUUACAAUCCAACUUAAAAAAAAUAGAAAUUGAAGCGAAUAAGGGUCUCUCAUUUGUAGUGAUCUUAGGGUUCUUAGGAUCCUUGAUCAAUCGAGAUUAAUUUGAGUUCUAACACUCAAAGUUUCAUUUGAAACCUAAUUUUGUCCUUCUAGUCUAGAUUCCUAAAUACUAUUAAGUGAAUGAAAUUCGUUUUAGGUUUAAGUCUUAGAUUUUUCUAUCCUCACUCCUUUUAC
rnacentral:lncRNA from 1 species